ensembl:lncRNA
AAGACAUUGUUAAAAAAUAAAAAGACGUGGAGAAGAUAUACAUAAUAAAAUACUAAUAUUCAGAAAAUAUAAAGAAUUCUUGCAACUCAAUAAUAAGAAGAAAAACAACAUAAUUAAAAAAUAGGAAAAAUAUUUGAACAGUCACUUCAUCAAACAAAAUACACAGUGACAAAAACACACCAAAAAUGCUUAACAUUAGAUCAUUAGUCAUUGGAUAAAUGCAAAUUAAAACCACAAAUAUAUUUUAAUAGACAACUAUGACAAUGUGUGAAAUUAAAAAACAAAAUAAAACUGACAUCCCAAGUGUUGAGUAAGAUAUGGAGCAACUGGAACUCUCAAACAUUGCUGCUGAGAUGGUACAACCGUACUGUCACUUAAGAAAGUAGUUUGGCAGUUUUUUACAAGUUAAGCCUAUGUUUUCCGAAUGACUCAGCACUCUGGCUCCUAGGGAUUUACCCAAGAAAAAAGGAAAAAAUUGUACAGAAGGGCCGAGAAUAGCUUUGUGACAGCCAAAAAUUGUAAACAACUGCAAAGUCUGUCAACUGGUGAAUGGCUAAGUAAUUUUGGUGUAUCCAUACUAUGUGAUAUCCCUCAGCAAUACAAGGGCACAAACUACUGAUACACUCAAUGACAAGAAGGAAUCUCAAACGCGUUGUGCUCCAUGAAAGAAGCCAGACCCAAAAGUCUGCACACCGUAUGAUUCUAUUUAUUUGAAACUGUAAAAUUGUAGACAAGGCAAACUAUAACGAUAGAAAGCAGAUCAAACUUUUGGGGCAGGGGUAGAAAGGAGUCGGGGGCAAGGGAGGGGACUUCUGUAAAGGGCCACUAAGGAACUCUUUGAGGUGAUGGAGUCAUUCUGCAUCUUGAUUGAUUGGUGGUUAUACAAAUGUACCCAUUUGCCAAAACUUCUAUAAAUCUUAUUUUGUGUAAGCUAUACCACAACAAAGCCGAUUUAAAAAAACAGGGCCCGGCUUCUGUGCUUCUUCCUGAAUUUAGGAAUUAAUGGUAGGGGUAGCAGUUUGGAAGGACCUCCCGGUUUUGCAAUAUGGGCUCAACAACUCCUCCUGACUUAUUUCCCACAGGUAAACCUACCACUAGGGCACUUCUGUCCUCCAAGAUCUGCCCCAUGGAAAGCAAUGACUAGCCCACGGGUGGCAGCCAAGAGAGAGGACAAAAAAAUGUUCAGGCGUCUCCCGGUCCUUCCACCUGUUGUUACUCGUUCACCCCUUCCCAAACCAGGCUCAAGGACUUCCCUAACUUUAUCCUCUCACCUUUGACUAGCUCUGAGCUGCUGCUGCUAUUUUUCUCACUCCCAUCUCCCCAUAAAAGUGUGAGUACCGUUGGAGAAAGAAAGGGGACAGGAGGAUAUAACUUGAAAGCUUUCCUGUAACCCAUUCCCCAAUACCAAGUGCUCUCCCACCCUAGGGUUCCCACUGCACCUGGGGCACUCUAUUUCUGUUUUCCCAAAGGUUACUUACAAUUUUUGCACUAGAGUCUGGGCAUCAUUGGCUAUCUUCUGGCUUCUGGUAUAGAGUUCCAGGGAGACAGCCAGCACAUCCACAGUGGAUGUGCCCGUCCACAAUCAUUGAAGUGAGUGAAUUUCAGAUUAAUUUUUAGCCUAGAAUCUUUUUGUUUGAAUAAAACCUGGAUUUGGAUUAUAAAUAUACAAAACAGUCAAUGGCCGCUCUGCUGGAAGUCAAGGUGGGGCUGGGUCUCUGAGUGCUGCCCCAGCGGCAGAGUUUAGAAAAGUCGAGAAAGGAAGAGGAGGCCACCCAGGCUCAGUGAGUACUGAAGUAAAAGGUGCGAGGACAGAGAGGUGUGUGAUGUGGUCAGGACGAGCAGGCCAGUUUGGCAGAACGAGGGUAAGUGAUGAAGUUGGAAAGCUGGGUUGGGGUUGGUUCAUGGGGACUUUAAUGACAACGUAGGAAUGCUGGACAGUCAGAGCAAGAAUAGAACUUACAGCUUAGCUAGUCCAGCCUGCUCUUUUACAGUUAAGGAAAGAGGCCAGGGACUGUGAGGGGCUUGCCCGGUGUCACAGUGACUUAGUGGCAGACCUGAGACUAGAAUUCUGUUCUGUUGACACUCAGACUAGUACUCAGUGAUGAUAGCAAGGUCUUCUCAUGGCAGUGCAGACUGGAAGAGGCAAAUUUUUCUGAAAUUUCUGUAUGUAGAGGAAGGAAUAUGAAAUGGUGAGAUCACGGGAAAAUGACAUCCCAUUUGGGCCUUUGCAAUCCAAUGUGUAGGAGGGGCUCCUCAGAUAAAGUAGAUUCAGCUAUUGCCUUUCCAAUAAUUCUCACACAGACUUCAAGAGGGAACAAUCAACCUGGUCACUUCCCUAUGCAGACUGCUUCCUGCCUCAAAAACAGGUGAAUAUCCAGCCUGGAAAGCACUUCAGCCUUGAAAUAUGCAAACACCCACUCAAUCUCUGGUCUCUGUUUCUCAAUGUCAGAUUUAGUUGAUUGUGCAAAGCACACAAACCUUCCACCAUUUUGAUAAUCAAUAAAUUGCUCUGGUAGAACACUUGCAAGGGGUUCUCUUGCUCUGUGUCUCUACUCUCUGACCAUUGAUUUUUUAGGUCAUAAAGAGGGAGGGAAACAGAGAAAGAGCUUAAGAAAUUAUUUUUCAUUCUCAAACUGGGAGCCAAGUAAUUUAUCCUAUUAAUUGUUCUGGAACAUUUCAUUCUGCCCUUUCUCUUCCAACACAACAACCUCUUGUCACAAAUCACUCAUUGUGAUUACACGCCAAAUUCCCAGCUUGGCCAUUAGUGUCAAAUAAUAGACUAUCAAUAGACUUAUAUUAAUUGCACAUUUAUGGGAUAGGCCAAGAAUCCUGACUGGGUCUCUGCAGGUCUGCUGUAGAAAUGAGUCUGGAGAUGGAACGGACUGUCUCUUGACUCGGAGCCAGAUAUCUGAUGGAUGACUUUAGCAGACAGUCAGCUUCUAAUCUUUGCUAGCAAAUGCAUCUCCACUAUCUACCCAUUGAUCUGAUAGCAAUGUUGAAAAAAGAACUCUCCUAAACUCAAAGUUUGAACAUUGGCUUUUUCAAAUCUUUGGACUGAUUGGAGAAAUAAAAAUGAAAUUUAUUUUGAAAGCAGCAAGUAUGAAUGGUCUGUGUGUGUACAUGUGUACUAGGUUUAUUAGAUUAAGAGAAGCAAGCAUAAACACACUUUGUUAAGAUACGCUAAUAUAUGCCCUCACCACCCACAACACACUUUUCCCCCAGUAUGAAACAUGAAAUAUAGUGUAAAUCACUCUGGAAAUGUGUGGUGGAAGGAAAAUGUACACUUAAAUGAAGAUAAUCAACACAUACUGAGUUCUAUUUUUCUAAAUGCUUGUGAAUCUUUUGCAUUUCUUCCAUAUAAUUCAGUAUCAGAGUUAAUGACAUAUCCUAGUUUCCUUUGGUACAGAAGCACCUCAAUUGCUGAAAAGUUUUGCUCCCUUCAAGACUGCUUAUCUGCUGCAAUAAUUACCAAUAAACCUCUCUGCACGAGAAAUAGCAGGGCUGAACGACUCUGUGAUGAAUAAAGAGAGUAGUCGGCUCCUCUUCAUUCAUCUUGAUAAUCUUCCUUGCUACGUAAACAGUAAGACACAUUGUCAAGAUUCAUGUUCAGGUCAAUUCUCAGCUCAACAUUGAUUGCAGAGAAAUUCUACCCAAUACACUGUUUUAUUAGAGCUGAAAGGCAACAACAGGAAAAUGGCAAAAGACCAUGGUAGUCUGAACUUGUAAGUGAAUGUGUGUGUGGGUGAGAGAGAGGAAUGGAAAGAAAGAGCAAUGGAUGUCUGUGGGAGCAGACAUAUCCAGCGGUGUGUCCAAUAAACACUCUUCUGAGAUUGGUCAACCCACUCGCUUUCAAUUGUGCUCCUCAGAAUCCGUGCUAACCUGAGGUAACAGACUCCGGGCAUAAAGAACAAUUCCAGAGCUAUGUUUCAAGGACUUCCUAUUUUAACAUCCUAAAACUUAACAAGUAUUAAAUCAACGUGACUACUGUAAGGCUACUGAAGGGCUGGGGUUAGGUAGUGACUCUAAAAAUAUCCGAGAAUUGAUAGGAUCAUAUUCCCAAACAAGUCCGGACUUCUCUCAGCUACGCCCAGUGAGAAGAAAAUCCUCAGUGUAGGAAAAUAAUUCACAGGCAGGCCCCUGGGAGACCCUGUGAUGGCUGAAACGUUUCCCUCCGGGGAUAGAUGUAAUGUGUUAAUGCUAGAGAACCAACCAGAACGGAUGAGAUCUGCCCGUCUGGUCCAAGCCCAGAGGAAACCAGACACUUCCCAAGGCUUCUUUCCCCUUAGGAUUGCAUCAGUCUCACUGUAUGGGCUUAUUUUUAAACAUUGGUUGAAAAUGCAAUAGCCCAGCUGUUCAACGUCACAACAGAAGGUCAAUUUUAUACAGUUGUUCUUCCUUGAAGAGCUUAAGUUAAGUGACCCAAAAGGCCAAUUUUUCCAACUAAUGAAGGAACUUGUUCCUGGAAAGUUGCCAUUUUGCUGUGAAACUUAUGUUUCCUCGUUUUACUAAUGCAAACGUUGAACUUUGGAAAUGUUAGUGUAUUUAAUUUUCAUAGUUUUGGGGCUUGGAUUACUAGGUAUAAGCACGUCUUUAUUAUUGUUAACAAUGAACUGAACCUGGAUAAUCCGCUGAUAAUUCCCAAAUUGCACAGAGCCCAAAUCUAGCCAACCAAAAUUCUUUUAAACAUGGUUUAAAAUCUCUUAAAAAUGGUCAGAAAUAGCAUCUCCCCUGUGAAACAGUCAAAAGAGUGGCCAUUGCAGAAUAGGACGGUGAAGAACGGAGAGACCCAACACAGAGCCGGGAGCCAGAUGCCCCUGGGUUCAAAUGCAAGCUCUGCCACUUCUUGGUUUAGCUGAGUGACCUUGCCUCAGUCUUCUGCUCUUUCAAACAGGGACGGAACUUACUCCGUAGGAUUGUUGUGAAAACUAGGUGAGUUCACGCGUAUAAAGUUUCUUAGAAAAGUGCGGCACGGUGUCUGCAGUCAGCUCAUCACAAAGUGACAGGCGCUCUUUUCGUGUUUGUUGAUCCUCACCACACUCCUGAGGGACUCACCGAGGGUGACAGCACGAGAAAGGCAGAGCACCAGUGUUUGCGGGUCGGCUCUCCUGCGCAGUCUCUGUCUAUAGCAGUAUACUUUUAGCAUCUCCCAUGGGCAAAAUGUUCUCUCAAGCCUCAUGAAACAAUUACACAUCAUUAAAGCACAAAGCAGGUCUCCAGGAUGGCCACGUGCCCGCCCCCCACGCCUCCUCGAUGUGGCCUGAGAGCUUUCAACUCCACUUUUCCUUGGGGCUCAGGCAGUUAGUGGUUCCCCAGCAGGCGCCAUCCCCACGUGGUCAGGAACACAGAAGUCACCAGUUUGUUCACCUGCCACAAACGGCUCUGAAACGAAGCUUUCCCGACGCCCAUGCAGAAGUGGGUCUCCUGUGUGCCAGAGGACAUCUCCCAGCCACCGUUUUGUCCACCCCCUAAUGAGUGUAUCAUUCUAAGGAGACACAAAACCCCUGUAUCGUUGUCAACACGCCCCAGACAGUGCUGGCUUCCAUGUCACAUUUUAUUCUUUUCAAGAAAGACAAUGCAUUAAAUGCAAGUGCAAAUGGAAUUUUAAAAAUGUGUGUAACCGCUGCUUUUUCUGUAGAAAAAAAACAAACAUGAAAAGUAUUCCUUUAUCAGAAAAUAUGCUCAGGGCAGGAUCGGUUCCCUCUCUAACCAGCACUCCAGCUCCAGCAUCAGUUAUGGCUCAGAAAUCUAACCAUUUGAUGCUGGCAGGACCUUGACUUCAGCCUAGCCAAAGUGAAUUAAGCUCACCUGGUUUUGCUAUGCAUGUGUGCGCGUAUGCACCUGUGUGUGUAUGAGCAUGUGAUCACGUGAGUUUUCCUUCCAGGGUGGUGAGCUGCAGGGACUGGACGUAUAUUAUAAAAAACCUGGGUUCUCAUGGGCAGAGGGCUGCCUGGACAUGCGGUGUUCACAGAUGUGACUUUGAACCCCAGAUGAUAGUUUUCCAAGCUAAUGUGACUAAUGUGCUCCUUGUAGGUGACAUUUCCUGCUGUUCCAUGUUCUCGAAUAAAGGCAGACACUGGCUGAAUCAGAGGCC